CUUAUCAUCACCGCAAUCGUUAACCGCUUCCUUAAUCUCCUCCAAAGAGAAAACAUUGAUUAAAGAAUCCCUUUCCUCCUGGUUAAGUCUCGAAAUGGAAUCACAAGAGAUAUUUGGCCUUUGAUUUAGAUCCUCCGCGAAUCGAUUCCUAAAAAACCUCAACACUACACUUUUUAUCUUCAUCGUUUUUCUAGUACGCUCGUUUUAUCAUCAAUGAUAUUCACACAUACCACUUUUUGAUUCUUUUAUAACGGAACAUUCUCAUUUAUGUUUUUCAUAGAACUCCCCUCAUCGUUAUCUUCUGAUUAUUGAAAAUAAAAUAUUAUUUUUAGGUUUAAUAAACUUUUAAAAAUCCUUUCUCAAAGUAUAAAGAAGAAAAUAUCUCUGUUACUUGAAACAGGGGAUGGUCUACUCAGAAAGCUAUUUGCCAGAGCCGGCUCUUGGGGGAGCCAAAUGAAGCUUUCGGCCUCCCAUGGCCUCCAAUUUUCACUCAGGGUUUUUAUAGUUUUAACAAUAUUUUCUGCAGGGAAGAAAGCAUAGUAUGGUUCUAUAAUUUCCGAUUAAUCUCUACUUUAUGUAGUUUUGGAUUUUUUUAAGCUACUUCCAAAUAGUAAUGAUGAAGUGAGAAGAGGGGUUUUUGCAGAGGUAUGGCUGAAGAAAUAAAGGAUGUUGAUGUGUGAAGAAGGCUCUUGCAAAGAAAUGGAUGGAUGUAAUGAUCCGACUCAAAAGGACCAUGAAUUUUCCUAGUAACUUAGUUCAUAUCCAUUUGUUUUCACUUUAUAAUUUAUAUGCAUUUUUCCUUUAACUGUCC